CCUACGGGGGGCAGCAGUAGGGAAUAUUGCUCAAUGGGGGAAACUCUGAUGCAGCAACGCCGCGUGGAGGAUGACGGUCUUCGGAUUGUAAACUCCUUUCGUUAGAGAAGAUAAUGACGGUAUCCAACGAAUAAGCACCGGCUAACUCCGUGCCAGCAGCCGCGGUAAUACGGAGGGUGCAAGCGUUACCCGGAAUUACUGGGCGUAAAGGGCGCGUAGGCGGGGUAGCAAGUCAGAUGUGAAAUCCUAUGGCUUAACCAUAGAACUGCGUUUGAAACUGUUAUUCUAGAGUAUGGUAGAGGUAGGUGGAAUUCUUGGUGUAGGGGUAAAAUCCGUAGAGAUCAGGAGGAAUACUCGUGGCGAAGGCGACCUGCUAGGACAUAACUGACGCUGAGGCGCGAAAGCGUGGGGAGCAAACAGGAUUAGAUACCCCGGUAGUC
rnacentral:rRNA from 1 species